rnacentral:lncRNA from 10 species
GUGACCACACCUAUUCUCUCCCUUUCAAACACUCUACUCCAGCUGCACAUAGUACAUACAGAGAACAUGCACCAGCACUUUUUUAAUCAAUGGGAAAAUUACUGAAUAAAUGAAAUCUGUUAAACGACCAAAAGGUCUUAAAAAUGUGGACUUUGGCCAGGGCAGUGGCUCAUUCCUAUAAUCCCAGCAUUUUGGGAGGCCCAGAGGAGAGGACUGCUUGAGCCCAGGAGUUUGACACCAGCAUAGGCAACAUAGUGAGACACCAUCUUUACAAAAAAUAAAUUAGCCAGGCAUGCUGGCACGUGCCUGUAGUCCCAGCUACUUGGGAGACUGAGGAAGGAAAAUUGCUUGAGCACAGGAGUUCAAGGCUGCAGCGAGCUAUGCACAGCAGCACUGCACUCCAGCCUGGGUGACAGAGCAAGAAAAAAAAAAAGUGGAUUUUGUGGGUGAACAGAAAAUAGGAAUUCUUGGAGAGUUACAGAGUCAUACACUAACAUCUAUGUGAGGCCUGAAUACCAAAAGGCAACAAGACAAAAAGAAAAAAGCAACAUGCCUUGGAGUCCAACACACCCAUUCUACAAUAUAAUAGGUAUGUGGACUUAGGACAAAGUAAACUUCAACUUCUCUGAUCUUAACUUCCCCCAUCUGUCAGAAGGGCCGAGACGGCUCAUUUCCUGUGUCACCUGACACAAUGCCCAAUACAGCAGGCAUUCAACUUCAGUAAGAGACAAGUGCAAAAACCAAGACUUAGGGACCUGGGCCAGAUGCGGUGGCUCACACCUGUAAUCCCAGCACUUUGGGAGGCCGAGGCAGGCAGAUUGCUUGAGCUCAGGAGUUUGAGACAAGCCUGGGCAACAUGGCAAAACCCUGUCUGUUUUUUUAAAUAAUAUUUUUUAAAAUAAUAAUAGUAAAAUGAAAUAAAAUAAAAUAAAUUAGGGAACUAGAAGAAAGUAAUCACCAGAUAGUGGAAAUCUGAAAGCUUCCUAUGAUGAAGGCUUCCCAAAGACAAAGAACAUUUUAAUAAGGUGUUGAACAGUCAAAGACACAAAAGCGAGAAUUAAGUAAGAUCUUCAUGAGCCAGGAGUUAACGUGAGCUGUGAAGACAGGAAAGUACACGGCAGAAAGCACAAAGAAACACAAGGCAGAAGGAAGCUGGGAGUGACGCAAGGCUCCCAGCCAUGGGCUGCAAUCCACAGGAAAGCUGGUGCUACACACUGGAGAAUGCUCAAAAUGGUAUAUCACAGCCACUGAGGUUUUCUUCUUCAUAUGCCAAGGUGAAGACACGAGAAUGUAAGGAUAACAGAAAGAAUAAUCACCAUCAAAGAGUAAAAUACAGUACCAUGUGGAAGAGGAGACAUGGGGAAAUCCGUAAAAAUCACUGGAAACAAAAUUUAUAAAUUGUUCCCCACAGGCACUCCGGCAACACCUUCAUCGUGAGUAAGGUGUUACUCACCUUCAGCAUGAGCAAGAUUCAUGCUGGGACCCACAGGCGCCCACACCAUCUCCGGCAAUUCUUGUCUGAACUACCUAUGAUGUAGUCUGGCAUUUUCUAUUUAUUUUUUAAUGCUGGUGGUCACUACUCAUUAAGCUGAUUAAAAAAAAAAUUGCCCAUGUUCUUCUGCUGAUUUAAGCUGAUUUAAUCAUUAAGCUGAUUUAACAACACUCUCUCAGACCGGACUGCAGUGACUUGGUGUACACUAAUUUUACCAUUGAGUGACUAUCUCUAACAAAUACAUUUUAACUGUGCAAUACCCUAUGCUUAUAAAAGCCAUCCCUCCCGGCCGGGCGCAGUACCUCACGCCUGUAAUCCCAGCACUUUGGAAGGCCGAGGCAGGCAGAUCACGAGGCCAGGAGAUCGAGACCAUCCUGGCUAACACGGUGAAACCCCGUCUCUACUAAAAAUACAAAAAAUUAGCCGGCUGUGGUGGCGGGCGCCUGUAAGAGCUUGCAGUGAGCCGAGAUGGCGCCACUACACUCCAGCCUGGGCGACAGAGCGAGACUCCGUCUCAAAAAGAAAAAAAGCCAUCCCUCCCCUAUGUCAAAUGUUCUCUCACUAAUGUCAAUGCCUCACUCAACACUCUCCUUCACUGGGAAAAAUAACAUUCAACAAGUAUCCAAGUAUCCACUAUGUGCCAGGCACCGUGCGGGGUUCACAGGUCGGCUCACCCCAAUCCGAACCCAGCUCUGCCACCAGAUUUGUACCCUAAUGCAGUGCUGCCUCAACAAAUCGCAAAAACAUAGCAGUUUCAAACAAGGCAAAUUAAUUACAAGUCCAGGUGAACUCAACUGGAUCCCCUGCUUAGGGUUUCCUAAAGCUAAAUCAAGGUGUUAGCAGAGUUGCGUUCCCUACUGGCAGUGCAUUCAGGUUGUUGGCCAAAACCAGGCCCUUGCAAUUGUAGGAUCAGUCCCUUGCAAACUCAGUCCCUUGCAAUUGUAGGACUGAGGUACCCAUUUCCUUACCUGCUGUCAAGUGGGAUCCAGUCUUUGCUCCUAGCUGCCCAUAUUCCAUUCUCAUGCUUUCCA